CGCGGCCUAUCAGCUUGUUGGUGGGGUAAUGGCCUACCAAGGCGGCGACGGGUAGCCGGCCUGAGAGGGUGUACGGCCACAUUGGGACUGAGAUACGGCCCAGACUCCUACGGGAGGCAGCAGAGGGGAAUAUUGCACAAUGGGCGCAAGCCUGAUGCAGCGACGCCGCGUGGGGGAUGAAGGCCUUCGGGUUGUAAACUCCUUUCGCUAGGGACGAAGCUUUUUGUGACGGUACCUAGAUAAGAAGCACCGGCUAACUACGUGCCAGCAGCCGCGGUAAUACGUAGGGUGCGAGCGUUGUCCGGAAUUACUGGGCGUAAAGGGCUCGUAGGUGGUUUGUCGCGUCGUCUGUGAAAUUCUGGGGCUUAACUCCGGGCGUGCAGGCGAUACGGGCAUAACUUGAGUGCUGUAGGGGUAACUGGAAUUCCUGGUGUAGCGGUGAAAUGCGCAGAUAUCAGGAGGAACACCGAUGGCGAAGGCAGGUUACUGGGCAGUUACUGACGCUGAGGAGCGAAAGCAUGGGUAGCGAACAGGAUUAGAUACCCUGGUAGUCCAUGCCGUAAACGGUGGGCGCUAGGUGUGAGGGUCUUUCUACGACUUUCGUGCCGUAGCUAACGCAUUAAGCGCCCCGCCUGGGGAGUACGG
rnacentral:rRNA from 1 species